UCCCAGAUGGCUCAGAUAGGAAAGAAUCUGCCUGCAGUGCAGAAGACCUAGGUUUGAUGCCUUGGUUGGGAA
rnacentral:tRNA from 1 species